CAAGUCGGACGAGAAAGGAGACCUCGGUCUCUGAGUAAAGUGGCGCACGGGUGCGUAACACGUAAGUAACCUACCCCAAACUCUGGGAUAACUCUCCGAAAGGAGAGCUAAGACUGGAUAGGGUCCUUGAGGUGUAGGCCGCAGGGGGAAAACAAGCCUCUGUUUCACGCUUGUGGUUUGGGAUGAGCUUGCGGCCCAUUAGCUUGUUGGUGGGGUAACGGCCUACCAAGGCGACGAUGGGUAGCUGGUCUGAGAGGAUGAUCAGCCACACUGGCACUGAGACACGGGCCAGACUCCUACGGGAGGCAGCAGUGGGGAAUUUUGCGCAAUGGGCGAAAGCCUGACGCAGUAACGCCGCGUGGAGGAUGAAGGCCUUCGGGUUGUAAACUCCUGUCAGGAGGAACGACGGAGAAAUGGUGAUAAGCCCUUUCCUCCAGACGGUACCUCCAAAGGAAGCCCCGGCUAAUUCCGUGCCAGCAGCCGCGGUAAUACGGAAGGGGCAAGCGUUGUUCGGAAUCAUUGGGCGUAAAGGGCGCGUAGGUGGUUCUGUGUGUCUACUGUGAAAGCGUACGGCUCAACCGUAUUUAGUCGGUAGAAACUGCAGGACUUGAGGCUGGGAGGGGCUGGUGGAAUUCACUGUGUAGCGGUGAAAUGCGUAGAGAUGGGGGAGAACACUCGUGGCGAAGGCGGCCAGCUAGACCAGUUCUGACACUGAGGCGCGACAGCGUGGGGAGCAAACAGGAUUAGAUACCCUGGUAGUCCACGCUGUAAACGAUGGGCACUAGGUGCCGGCGGUCUUGAUCCCGUCGGUGCCGGC
rnacentral:rRNA from 1 species